UUUUUUUUUUUUUUUUUGAGACAAAAUCUCUCUCUGUCACCCAGGCUGGAGUGCAGUGGCAUAAUCUAGGUGCCCACCACCACGCCCAGCUAAUUUUUGUAUUUUUAGUGGAGAUAGGGUUUCACCAUGUUGGCCAGGCUGGUCUUGAACUCCUGACCUCAGGUGAUCCGCCUGCCUCGGCUUCCCAAAGUGCUGGGAUUACAGGCGUGAGUAAAUGAGUCUUAUUGUGUCCUAUGGGCUCUCCCUUUGCCUGGGUGAUAAACGCAUGUAAGUCUGGACCCAGGCGACACACUUACUCUGGGUUGCAAAUUCAGCCACAGUGCAGGAGGCUCAAGUGGGACAAAGGGAGAGAGACUCUGGGUAGGAAGGCCACAGCAGGUGGAUAUUCAGAGGCAGCUCAGAGCCACAUUUGGGAGAAAUGCAGAUCAGAGAUGCCUUGGUCAGCAGUACUACUUGCCCCCCUGAGGUCCAACCAGGUCUGCGCAGCGCACGUGCCCCCUCAUCCCUCCUUGACACACACCCAGCACCAUGUGGUCCAGGCUGCUCACCACCAGGUUGUCGAAGAUGUGGCCCCACAGGCGCUGAAGCAUGCUGCUGUGGUGCCCCAGGUCCCAGCUCGUGGGCAGUGGCAUCUGCGCAAAGGUGUACCCACCCAGGGAGAGGGCACACUGCCAGCGUGCAGCCAGCCAGUGCCCCAGGAUCCCUGCAGCAACAUCAGCAUUCAGGCAGCCCGCACCAGGCCACCACAAAAGAAAUGGCUCAGUGCAGUCUCCCAGCCAGCGCAUCAAAGCUGCAGGCCAGGUGGAGCUGCAGGGACUUAGCCUAGGCAGCCAGCCUCGCCCCCAGCCAGGGCAGGAACAAGAGCAACAGGUAGAGCCAGGGGACCAGGAGGCCCGGGCUUCAGUGCAGGUGUGUGGAGCAGGAGAGUCAAGUUACCCUCACGGGGGGGUAGCAGUGGGGCCAUCUCUGGUGUACCCUGGGGGACCAAGAGGAGGAGGAGUGGGUGGCCCUAGCCGUCUCCCAGGCUCCAAGGACUGAGAACAGGGCCCUCAGAUGGCAUGGCCCCAUCAUUCAGGGGGGACUGGACUAGCCCUCUGAGGCUCCUUUCAGCUUCUGUGGUUCCAGUGCCAGUCAGGAAGUGGGCAGUCAGCCGGAGGCGAGGCAGGGGCAGUGCCCCAGCUGUGAGCCACUCAGCUCCCCUCAGUCUUUCCCUCCACCCCUCUCCUCACAUCCAGAGUCAGGGCUGGAGAGGAAGAGAGGACCCAACCAUUGGGGUGUGGUGGGUUGGCGGAGGUAGCUCCUCCCUCUCCCCUUCAUUAGAGCUUUUUAUUCUUUCAGGAUCCCUUCUGGCUUGUAAGGGUCAAAUUCCACCCUCAGCCUCUCUGACCCCACUAUAGCCUGACACUCAGACUCAGCUAACCAGGAGGUUGCAGGGCCAACCCUGCCCACCUCACCUUACCCCUGAAGCCUUCCUGCC
rnacentral:lncRNA from 1 species